rnacentral:tRNA from 1 species
CAGAGUGUAGCUAAAACAGGAAAGCAUCUCCCUUACACUGAGAAGUCCUCCGUGCAAAUCGGAGCGCCCUGAC